GUUGGCAAAGUUUGCCCGUUACAAAUACUUUAGUUUUUGUAACAGGCACCUUUUGCCCGAUACAAAUAACUUUGUCAAUGAAAUAAAAAACCCUAGUACUCCCUAUCUAACUUCACUUCUCAUUUUAGCCGCCUACCUCUCCUUCAAACACACUUUCUCUCAUCCCUCAUCUCCCUCUUCCCUCAUCUCCCAACUUCCGUCUCCACCAUCGAACGACGUUCCACCACUCUCUCGUAGUCUCGUCUCUUCCAUCAUCUCUUGUUCAUCUUCAAGAUCCAAUCCCCAAACCCAAAACCCAUCUACAAUGAAUCAAAAUCUAAUAAAAAUGGCUCGAUCUCUUUCUCAAACCCUAACUCGACUGCCCAAUUCUCUCUCCUCCGCAACAUCCACCGAUUUUAUCAAUUUCCAACACCAGUCUAACUCGGUAAAGGUGUUUUCCGGUUAAAAACCUGGCGGCACAAGAGGUGGUGAAGGUCGGGAUGAAUUAGAGCGUCGUUAUCAGCUUCUGUGCUCGGUUUCAGAUUUCCGUCGUUUGUUUCACCUUAUUCGUCAAAUUAUCAGCUAUUUUUCUAGCUUAUUGACUGGUUUUAGGUUUUGGUAAUUGAUUUCCAGCUAAGGAUGGUAAUGAGAUGUAAGUUUCCUAUUAUUCUGUGGGCAGCUCUAGCUCUGUUACUCAUAUUCAUAUCUGCAUUGGGACUUCCUGUUUCAACAGGAGCAUACAUCUAUACAUUGAUCUUUGAGACAGGAAAGAUUGGAAUUUUUGUAUGUUUCUGGAUUAGCUGUUAGGAAACCCACUUCUGAUGGAUUUCAGGGACUUGGAUCUUUGCUUGGUGUUGAUAAUUUGGCUUCAGCAGCAUCACCGACAUCGGCAUCAGCGGUCAUUUCUUAACUUCUUACAAUCUGAUUGUGGUUUGAUUGAUUUUAUAUGUCAUGAGAUUUGUUUUUUUUUUUGUUUUUUGUUUUUUGUUUUUUUUUUUCUUUUUUUGUUUGUGUCAUUGUCUUGGUAUACUAUUAACAAUUGAAUUAGUUCAAAUGUAUGUUAAGGAUUUUUGUUGAUUGAAUAAUACAUAAGCUACCUAAUAGUAGUAACAUGCCUCCUAUUCACUACAUGGGCAACCUACAACCUAGCUAAAUAUAAUAUUUAGUGUGACUCGAAUUCUGAUUUGAGAAGAAUUAUGGGGUGUAGAGAAAGCCGUUGGCUGCAAUUAAGCUGAUUCUUGUGAUAAUCUGGUCUGACUCAGGCAUUAAGGUGGAGUAGAGAAAGUUUGGAGACUCAUUGUGGGGAAAGGGACGUAUAACAGCUCGUAUAGGUGUUACUGCCUUACAAACAUUCAAAUUAUUGUGUAAGUAAUGCAAAUUAUUUGCCUAAUAAGUUGGAUUGUUCAAAUCACUAUAAUUAACAUCAAUCAUAGAAGGUAUUGUAACCUCAUCCGUGAACCAGAAAUUUACUUAAUCAAACCACUAUACGGGCUGCUAUACGUUGCACCCUGAACAUAUUUUAGUACCUUAUAUUCUCAUGCAAUCGUUGUGCGCUAGUUGUGUAAGAUGAAGUUGAUAAAUAUAUGCCUUUUAUAGUGAUGUUGCUACUACGACAUAUGUGUGGUUAUUUUUACCUGCCCUGCUUUAUUUAUACUGCAUAAUGCAUGCUAGUUGAUUAGUUGUUAAUGCAUGGUGAUUUUGUUGCAGGUUUCUAAGGCAGCCUCGGAAUUGAAAUCAAAGUUGCAGCUACUCGGAAAAAUGGUGGAAGAUGUAAAUUAUUCAACACUAAUUUAGAGUAAAAUAAUUUAAAUCUUAUGGUAGUCUUAAGUAAACUUGUUUUAUUAUUAUUAUUAUUACAAUUGAGAUUUGCUUUUGCUUUUUCUUUUGCUUUGGUUUAUGUUUUAGUUAUUAGGUAAUAAUGAAAGCAGGCUUUUGCUGAUUGUAUAUUAGGUGUAUACUAUACUUAUAUAAAAUAUAUAUCUCUAAUUAAUUGAUAAAAUAA